ACAAGUUUAGUUCCUCCACCGAAAGUCCACCACAGUGAUACAAUCUAAUGAAACGGUCGUACAAAAACCUCUAUUCCACUCGAGUGAACACAAACUCCAGCAGAGAGAGAGAAGCAACACUUCAACACACUGAUAUUAGAAGAAACUCAGAUCUUCUCAACACUCAAACAUUCAGUUUGGACAAAAUGUUAUUAUAAUUUUUUUCACAAGCAGUUGAAGAGUUUAUUCAUCUACAACAGAGAUCAUUCAGUUUGACUUUCUAUCCUGUAUUUCUCAUUUGUUCUCUUGUCGUGUGCUGAUAUAACACUGUUUGAAGAAAUAUAUCUGAUGAUCUGUGACCUCUGAGGUGACCUUUGACCUCUUUUAUCAUGGAUGAUGUUGUGAGUUUCUCAUAAUGAUCUUCUGUUCUUCAUAUGAAGCUCAAUCAUCAUGAUUCACAGAAAAACCUGCAGCUUCAGACUUCAAUCUUCAGUGAAAAUGAGUUCAAAUAAUGAGAAAAAUUUGCUGAAAAAAGGGGAUGAUGUUUGGAUGAAGCCAUGGAGACGGUGUGAACAUGUACUUUAGAUGUUACAGCUGGAGGUGAGUCUUCCGUCAGCUCUCUUUUUGACUGGGUGUCGCUUUAUUUCACGUGAUAAUCUACAGAGCGUAUGCGCAUUUGUUCUCGGGUUCCCCCACACAACAUGAUUUCUGAUUGUACAUUUUCAAAAUGAUAAAAUAUUUACGAUUCACAAUCAGGGCGGCUCCGACAGUCUUAACCAGAGGUGUAAAGAGUACCUGAAAACCAUACUUGAGUAAAAGUACUGAUAUCUUAUUUCGAAAACUACAAGUUACAAGUAACCAAUUCCAAUACGACUUGAGUAAAAGUCUUAAAAUAUCUGAUUUUAACAGUAUUUAAGUAUUUUACUCGUGCUGAAUGUAGGCUCAGAGAUGCACUAGUCCUGAGAGACGUGCCAGUGAAAAUAAGAAACAAUUGAUUUGUAAGAUGAGAAAUCAAGUUUAUUUUCUAAAAUCAAAAUAAAACUGAACACCUCAAUGUUGCAAUAAAUCAAGGUCGACACAACAACCUUUUAAAUGUCUACAAACUCUCAAGUCUCAGUUGAGCUCAAGUGCACAGAAAGGCCAUAAGUAAACCAAUAUCCUUCAAAACGGUCUUGUCAAUAUAGCGGAUAAAUAAAACAAUGUUAAGUAAAAUUAAAUAGUCAAAGUCUACUGUAUGUGCUGGUUUGAGCCUCAUCACCAGCUGCAGUCAUUUCCUCAUCUAAUAAAUCAAACAUCUGCGAUCAGCAACUAUCUGCUAAUGUCCUUGUUGACAAGUUUUGGGUGAGUAAAGGCAAAACGCACAAGACAGUACCUUCAAUGACCUUAGAUGGCGAUAUCGCUUCUUUAUAUCAGAAACAAACUGCUGCAGAAAAAGUUAGCUGCCAUGAAAAAUGUAAUUUGUAAUUGCAUUACUCAUCACAAAUGUAGUGGAGUAAAAAGUACAUUCACUUGCUCAAAAAUGUAGUCAAGUAAAGAGUAAAAGUAGCCAAAAAGAUACUUAAGUAGAGUAACUAAUUACAUUUACUCAAGUACUUUACACCUCUGCUCUUAACACAUCUUGGGAAAAUCUGAUAAGAUAAUCUGUAGAACCAUCAAGACAAUCAGGACUUUACUUAGGAUUGUCAUCUAUAUUUACAUAUUUAUUGUUGUGUUUUGACUAUAUUUUAAUUGUAAGACAGUCAGAAUGUAAAUGAUCAUUCUGUAAUUCUAGUGUAUAUUAGUUUGUCUGUUGUAAAUCCUGCCCACUUCUUUGCAUUGUCACACAUGCUUCAGUGCUCUGAGAGUGUUUAUAGUGCUGUGAGUUUAACACUUCAUGACUGAGAGCAGAACAGAACACAAUCUUCAUCAUCACACAAGACAAAAGAUCAACAAUGAACACAAUCACCUUCUUCAUCUGGACUCUCACACUGUUUGCUCAAGAAUCCAGAGGAGUGACUCUGACUCAACCUGAAGUUAAAACUGUCCAACAGGGUCAAACAGCUACAAUAGAGUGUCAUAUAGAUGUAGGAAUAAGGUAUAGCCACUUAGCCUGGUAUCAGCAGAAACCUGGAGAAGCUCCUAAACUCCUGAUUUAUUAUAUAAACAGCCUCCAGUCAGGAACUCCAUCUAGAUUCAGUGGCAGUGGAACAGCAAGUACUGGACGAGAUUUCACUCUGACCAUCAGUGGAGUCCAGACUGAAGAUACAGGAGAUUAUUACUGUCAGAGUUUACACAGCAUUAACAGUAAAGCUGUGUUCACACAGUGAUAAAGAGUGGUACAAAAACCUCGGUCAGUCAGACGUCACAGUGAUGCACUGAUACAGCUGAGAGAUACUGCAGCUGCUGAUGGAGGAUCACAAACAAUGGUGGAAAAAAAAGUACACUUCUAUGGUCAUGCAUCCAAUGUCAGUAUGUGCACUCAACUUGAGUGCGAUCUAAAAGCAGACCCCUGUGAGCCCUUGAAGACCCAUUUCCCACAUCCAGUAACCCAUGACGAUGUUUUUGUUAUGAUGGACGCUUGCCACAUGCUGAAGCUGACAUGCAAUAUGUUGCAGGCAUACAGCCCAAUUAGAAGCAUAACUGGCAGUAUCAAUUGGAAGUACAUAGUUCAUCUGAACAAUGUCCAAAAGAAAAGUGGACUACAUGCUGCCAACAGAGUCACAGAUAAGCAUGUGAACUUUGCUAAUCAGAAGAUGAAGGUCUCCCUGGCUGCUCAGACUUUGAGUAGCUCUGUGGCAGUGGCGCUCCGCACGUCGCAGGAGGUGGGCUAUGCAGAGUUCAAAGAUUGUGAGGCUACUUCAGAAUUCAUUAAGGUAAUGCAGCUAGGGAUUUGCAUCACUGACCAAAAUCAUUUCUAACAUUUGAGUGAUUAAUUGCUUUAACCCCUUUAACCCUUUAACACCCACCCUCCCUUUGUGGUUGGUCCGUUGGUCAGCAACCCCAAAAUGAGGGGGGUUGUUAAAAUGUGAAUGCCACCAGGAUUAUCCCUUUAUCUUUUUCUUCUAUUUUUUUCAAUUUGAGCAUCGGGAAUGAUUAAAUAAUUAUGACCAUCCUCAAAUUCAACAAUAUGCAAGAACUUGGAUAAAACUACUACAUACUUACCUCAGAAGCACCCUUAUUGUCACAUGUCAGCAUAGCCACAGAGGAAAUGGAGAGAAAUCAAACUAUGCCUCAUACUUGGGUGUUUACUAUCUGAUACCUGUUGACACUCAGUUAUAGUGAUGAUUUCAGUGCUUCCAGUUAAUUUAGGUAUUUGUUUAUAGAUAACAGACAGGCUGUUUGACAUCUUGAACAGUCGCAAUCCCAGAGCCAAAGGGUUCAAAGCCCCCCUUGGUUCUAGGAAUUGGACAAGCACCAGGGAGUUCUUGUCAAAAGCCAGGGGGUACUUGCUCACUUUGAAGAUGGAGGAUGGCAAACCCCUUUACCGAACAAAGAGGUCUUUUAAAAUAGUGACUGUUGUAUUAGUGAUGCACUGACACCAUUUGUAGUCGCCAAUACCCAGUACAAAUUCUUUAUUAUAAUUAAAUUAUCAGAAUGAGGCGGCUGAUUUAGAAAAUAUGGGUUUAUUUUAUUCUUCGUUAGAUGUAUACAAGUAGUCAAUUUACAAAUCAUUAAAUUAUCUAAGGUAAAACUCUGCCGGUUUCAGUGCAUCCCUCCAGUCCAUGAUAUAAGUUCAUGAGAUGCUCUGUUCUCUUGUUUAUCUAUCUUCUGCAUCGAGUUCAUAAGAUGCUCUUUUCUGUCUGCGUCAAGUUCAUAAAGUGGUACGUAUUAUUAAUAUGAUACUAUCUUGCUCCAAUGUGUUUGCUCUCUGCAAAUUUGUUUCAGUUCCAAUUCUCUCAUAUUCAGUUUUUUUCUCCCCAGAUGCCGGUGUCAAAAUGGUAUGUAUUGGAUGGUCUUCAUGUUAUGUUGUGAAUUGUUUCAAGAAUGUUUAGUGUCCUAAAAGUAAUUUUAAGGACCCUAAACCUCACACUGAUUAUACUUUUAAGGUCAGGGAUGGACACUAGUCAGCUUCACGAUAUGUCCUGACCUACAGGUUCAGCCAGGACCACUUGGAGCUUCUCUUCAACUCCAUCAGAGCAUCCGGUGGCUGGAAUAACAACCCUAAUGCCAGCCAGUUCAAGUACAUCUUGUUAAACCAUGCAGAGGCAAUGUGACGGCACAGGAUGACACAGAGUCCCUACCAGCUGUCAUCGACACCUCUACAAGCCUGUCAGCUGUAGAUAUGUCCUCUGCAGCAGGAGGAGAAGAUCUUCCAUCCCCCUUUGCUGACAUUCCUGCCCUAGUACAUGACCACAGCUACCUUCCCGUCCGCUUCGAUGGUCUUGUGGACAACGCUCUCGUGUACAUUUCAGGAUUUGUUGUUGAUGGGAUCUGAAGAAGCUGUCCUGUGAUGUCUGCCGUGCCAGCCUGGUGACAGACGCUGCAUCUGCCAUCAAGGACCAGAGCUACCACCUGCUGACUUUAAAAAACAACGGAGGUCUGGUGAUUCCAUCAGGAUGCACAGUGAGGGUCGUCAGGGCAGCAGAGUGGGUCAUUCGUCAGGCAUCAGCAAGUACCGGACGAUCACAGCCCAUCAAACUGCUAGAGGUCGUGUACAUUGUAUGGAAGAGGAUAGGGUCAGAGGAUGUGUUUGUGCUCGGGGAGCACAUCGGCGAAACGCAGUAUGGCAUAGACAGCCAUCACCAUACGCUGUUAACAUUAGUUGUGUCCUUGCUUUUUAAUCUAAGGCUGCACCACAUCGCUAAAAUGACUAACCUUACCUUACAGAGCAACAACAUGCGAGAGAAGCUCAAUAAAACCGUCCUUUUCAAAGGGCAUUAGCCCAAGCUAUGUUUUUUGGGUCAUUGUUUUAUCUCUGUCUUCCACAGUAGUGUAGUUCUCUCUACAGGGUGGGGAUUUCAACAUGCAUUCAGCAUUUCUUUAUGUAUAUUUGUAAAGGGGAAUCUUGUACCUAUUUUUUAUUGCAAAUAAAUGCCACUUUUAUAAUAGUUUAAAAAUAGAGACUUUUGUGUAAUUAUUCCAUAUUUUGUCAUUCUCAUAUCAGAACCCCUGACAUGCAAUCCAAAUAGUCUACAAGAAACUUCAGAGUGUUACCUUUCAUUUGAGACCAGGAUUAUGCUUCUACACCAAGAGGUUGCCACACAGUAAGCCUUUUAUUGUCAGUAUGCAUUUUGGGUAACUAAAAGUCCUAUGGGGAGUUUCCAUAGGGUAUUUUACAAAACACAUGAGCAUGCCUUGGCAAAUAAAUAGUCUAAAGUACUCAUAUUUCAUUCUAUAUUGAUCUGCUUUUGCACACAGCUUCACAAGACCUGGUGCUUAGGCUCCGUUGUGUUUCUAAAGUCAUAUCAAGUGACCUAGAGAGCUGAAAUGUGGUCAGUUGAGAUGCUUGUUAUCCGGCAAAAAGAAAAAAAACAAUAUUCUAGCCUCUAUAACUCUGUGCCAGUACUUCACACAAUUAUUCUGAUUGUUUCCUAAGAAACUACAGGGUCUCAGCUUUCUAAAGAGGUCAGGCAUUUGAUGGUAGGCAAAAAUAGCUGGGAACAGUGAUCUCUGAAGUAGGCACAGUGCAAUGUCGAGGGGAAAAGCCUAGUAAAUGGGCCAACCCUGAAGAAGUUAAAAUAAACAUGUAAUAAUUCAAAUUAUUUUAUUAUAAUAGUAAUAUUCAUAUUAUAAAAGUGUAUAUAUAUAUGUCAUGUUGCCAUUCUGUACACUGAGUUUUAGUAGCCUAUAUAUUGAUUUAACAUAAAUACCUUGUGCGUGUGUAUAUUCAUUGCACCUAUCUGUUCUGUUCAAUGUUAUUUUCAUAUGGAAGUCCAUAGUUAUAAUUAUUCAUAAGUAUGCAGUGUCAUAAGUACAUCUCUGAUGUUUAUAACAAAACAAACAGUUUGAAAAUCGGUAGAAAAUUGAGCAAGUUAUGGUUAUUUAAAAAGUACAUGCACCAUUAAAACACAAUGUUACGAGUGAGCGAGCUGACUGUCACAAGAUGGCCGCCAGGUGCGGACGUCGACCUCCAUUGGCCAGCAGCGCGGACGAGACAUCUAGCCUUUAUUAUGUAUAUCUAUGGUUUUAACCUUCAGCUGAUCAUUGUUAGCAUGUAGGUAUUCACUGCUAGCAUGACUAGCAUGUUGAAAGUCCUGUUUGCUAGCAUGAGUCAAAUGAGCCAACCACCAUUUCUCUACAAUGCUCUGAUGCAGAGAAAUAGGUCUUGAUAAACAGUUGCUAGGGCACUCUAUUUGGUUACUAGGGAGUGGCUUGUCAGCUGCCAAUAAUGAUACUAUAAAGGCUGAUUGUCAGUAUGAAUGAUAUAAAGCAACCCCCAUGCCUCGAUGACAUUCAGAUACAGAGAUAUGACACAGUCACACAGUUUGUCGCCAUGUUAAGUCAGUGGGAUUUUUCGCCCGAUUUUUCACCUGCUGUACGAACAUCGUACGCCCAAUCGCUUAUAAAAGCAAGAGCAGCGAUGUCCUUGAUCUGACACCUCAUUCACGGCUCUACGACAAAUGGUGUGGGACGAGUUACGUGCCGAAAUUUAUAUGGAAUAAAGAAGAAGAAGAAUAUGUGAGAUAGUAAGAGUGUGCAUCGUCUUUCAGGCAAGCACCACUAAUAAUAAUCCCAGAUCCCAACAGCCUUUUCACUGGAGGAAAACAGCUGUAGUGGGAUGAGGGGGAAUGCAGCAAAAGUAGAUGGGACUUGGGAAACCAUCCUGUAUUAUUCCCACAUCUCAUUAUGUAAACUGUAUUUAUGACAAAUAUCAUAAAUACAUAAGAUAAAUACAUACAACCAUAAAUACAAAGAUCUAUAACAAAGAGUUGUUGUAAUAUGAUAAUCAGAUUAAACAUAUUGGUGCUAAAAGAUGUGUAGAUAACAAAAACAGAUCACAGGGGAUAACUUAAACACAAACACUUCAACACUGAUGAUACCGGACACAGAACUAGAGAAAACUGGGCUUAAAGGGUUAAUUCACCCAAAAAUGACAUUUCUGUCAUUAAUUACUCUCCCUCAUGUCGUUCCACACCCGUAAGACCUUCAUUCAUCUUCAGAAACACAAAUUAAGAUAUUUUUGAUGAAAUCUGAGAGGAAUAUGACUCGUCCAUAGACAGCAAUAUAAUCAAGGUCCAGAAAGGUACUAAAAACAUAGUUAAAAUAGAUAACGUGACUGCAGUGGUUCAACCUUGAUGUUAUGAAGAGACAAGAAUACUUUUUGUGCUCAAAAACAAAACAAAAAUAAUGUCUUUAUUCAACAAUAUCUUCUCUUCUGUGUCAUUCUCAUAUGCUGUUUACUUCCAGCGCUUCCAGUUUCUACAUCAGAACGUCGACUCAGUAAUGUAAAACAUUUCCUUGUUAUGGUGAGCAGCUGUCCCAUGGGAAACAAAAUAAAAAUUAAUUGAUAAAGUGAUGAUUAAAUGGUGACAAAGUGUUAAUUUAUUUUUUACAUUUUAAAGUUCAGGAUUGGGUAAAGUGAUGGAAUGUCUUGAAACGAGUUGAAUACGGUACAAUAAAUCUCACACAGAACAGAAUAAAAUCAUUAGAAUGUAAAAUAAGGUAAAUGUGAUGAUACACUGAACAUAUUUGAUCAAUCUUAGCAGCUCACGCUGUUGUAAAUCCUGCCCACUUCUUUGCAUUGUCACACAUGCUUCAGUGCUCUGAGAGUGUUUAUAGUGCUGUGAGUUUAACACUUCAUGACUGAGAGCAGAACAGAACACAAUCUUCAUCAUCACACAAGACAAAAGAACAACAAUGAACAAAAUCACCUUCUUCAUCUGGACUCUCACUCUGUUUGCUCAAGAGUGUAGAGGACAGUACACUGUAACUCAGAGUCCAUCAGUAACAGCAGUUCAACCAGGACAAGAAGUCAGAAUAAACUGUAAAACCAGCAGUGCAGUGUAUAAUGGUGAUCGUUUAGCCUGGUACUUACAGAAACCUGGAGAAGCUCCUAAACUCCUCAUAUAUUAUGCAACAAGCCGUAAUACUGGAACUCCAUCUAGAUUCAGUGGCAGUGGAUCUGGCAGUGAUUUUACUCUGACCAUCAGUGGAG